ensembl:lncRNA
UCUUAAUGUGUAAAAGCUGUUGUUUGAAAGACCAAGAAAAUGCUUCUGCUUGGACUUUGUUGGUGCUAUGAGUUUAAACUAUUCAUACCUCUGCCCAGCCACCUCAGAAUAAUCCCCACUGGCGGCCGGUUCUGGCCUGGGUCUGGACCGGUUCUGCCGAGUUUCCGGCCCUGUUUUGCUCCAGACUCGGUCUCUAUCGGGGAUCUGUUUUUUUUUUUUUUUUGGGACAAUCCCUACCUCGGGAUUCUGGUGACCAGCACACACACACACAGACACACAGACACACACACACAGACACACACACACACACACAUACAAGGGGUGAGGCCAUUUGGAAGUGAAGAUGGAGAGAAUGACCCUACUGCUUGGACACACCUGGCCCUUCUUCCUUCCGUUUCCACCUGAUGUUUGUCCUUGUUUGUUCGUUCAUUCGUUUCGUCUGUUUUUAGACAAAAAAAAAUCUCCAGCUGCAGAUCAUGUUAACGUUUGUUUAAAAAAAAGAAAAAAAAAUAGAGGUCAAAGGUGAAAUCUGCUCUACAUCAGGAAGAGAAAAGGUCCCUUUUGUGUCCCUUUUGUGAACACUUUUGCUCAAGCUUCACACUGCUCCACCACGAACAGCUUCUGUGUCUGUGUGUGUGUGAGUGUGUGUGUUUGUGUAUGUAUGUGUGUUCGUUCCUCCCCUGUAACGUGAUGCCUUUCGUAAGCAAUAGACUUGCUCCAGUGUUUUGUCAUAUCUAGGACUUCACACACAAACUGCACAGACAAUCAGAAAUGAUGUUGAGAGAGCACGAGAGCGACCGAGCAAGCGAGAGAGAAAGAGAGAGAAAGAGGGAGAGCACAAUUUUGAUACCUGAUUGAAUGGAUGUGGGUAUGAGCGGUCUACUUUCACAGAGGAAUGUAAUAGUCAUGGGAUGUGAAUGGCUGAAUCUUAAACCUAACUCAGUUUGAAGUGAAAAGACAAAACAAAAUUAAAAAAAAAGAUAUUUUACAGUAUAAAGGAUAAAGGUUGUAUAUUUUAAGAUUGCAGAUAUUUUUUACAGAAGUUAUAUGCAUACUAUGAGUCAUUUUACCGUUUUUGCAUACAUAGUUCUUUUUCUCAAAUUUCUACAAAGACAGCAUCCUGUUGCUUCUCAAAACAAGAAUAAGCCCAUAACCAGGUCCACAACAACAAUAAGCCCAUAGCCAGGUCCACAACAACAAUAAGCCCAUAACCAGGUCCAGAACAAGAAUAAGCCCAUAGCCAGGUCCAGAACAAGAAUAAGCCCAUAACCAGGUCCACAACUAGAAUAAGCCCAUAGCCAGGUCCAGAACCCCAUAACCAGGUCCAGAAGCACCCAAAGGAGAAAUACACUUACAGUGGGGAAAAUAAGUAUUUGAACCCCUGCCGAUUUCGCAAGUUUGGCCACUUGCAAAGAAAUGUGUGAUCUAUAAUUGUAAUGGUAGGUCUAUUUUAACAGUGAGAGACAGAAUAUCCACAAAAAACAUCCAGAAAACUGCAUUUUAUAACAGGUAUGAAUUGAUUUGCAUUUGUCGCGGAAAAUAAGUAUUGAAUACUUA